ACGAACGCUGGCGGCGUGCCUAAUACAUGCAAGUAGAACGCUGAAGGCGGAGCUUGCUUCUCUGGAUGAGUUGCGAACGGGUGAGUAACGCGUAGGUAACCUGCCUGGUAGCGGGGGAUAACUAUUGGAAACGAUAGCUAAUACCGCAUAAGAGUAGAUGUUGCAUGACAUUUGCUUAAAAGGUGCAAUUGCAUCACUACCAGAUGGACCUGCGUUGUAUUAGCUAGUUGGUGGGGUAACGGCUCACCAAGGCGACGAUACAUAGCCGACCUGAGAGGGUGAUCGGCCACACUGGGACUGAGACACGGCCCAGACUCCUACGGGAGGCAGCAGUAGGGAAUCUUCGGCAAUGGACGGAAGUCUGACCGAGCAACGCCGCGUGAGUGAAGAAGGUUUUCGGAUCGUAAAGCUCUGUUGUAAGAGAAGAACGAGUGUGAGAGUGGAAAGUUCACACUGUGACGGUAGCUUACCAGAAAGGGACGGCUAACUACGUG
rnacentral:rRNA from 1 species